rnacentral:sRNA from 1 species
CCAUGGGAGAACCGCUGGCAUUGCACCGAGUGUCAUAUAUACUCACCAAAAUCGUGUUUUGAAGCGUGUGGACAAGUAGCUCUCACGGGACAGAAGAUGGUAUUUUGGAGUUAAUCAUGGUGAAUCAAGGUGCAAAAGCAAAGCGGAAUCUCUGAGAGAUACUUGUUUGAGAUCUUUUUGAACUCGAGGGGAGUCUCUUUCUUACGCUGGGCUUGGGAAUGUCAACGCGAAGCUCCCCAUGUUUGUUUCGAGUGUGCUUCACCAACGCAUCCAAUGUUCUGUCCAUCAGUCCACAUAAUUUGUCUCUAUAUAUCUACGU